UAAUUAUUAUAGAUUUCCUAAUAAUUAAUGUUUUAAGAUGCACAUUUUUUACAUUUUGCAUAAUUUUAAUAUAUUAAACACAUUGCAGGCAGAGAGGAGUGGCAGCAUUCCAACAGGCCAGCAUUGCUAAACAGGGAGACCAUCUGGUACACAGAUGGCUCCAGAAUGAAUAACAGAGCUGGCUCAGGGCUUUGAGGUGGGAUCCCAUAUACUAGUAGGGCAUACUCGCUGGGGAAGCACGCCACUGUCUUCCAGGUCGAAAAUUCGCUGUAUUGAAAUGCGGACAGGAAAUCCUAAGCUGCGGACACCGCAAUACAGUCGUAUCAGUAUGAUCGGACAGCAGAGCUGCCAUUAAGUUCUGGCCGUAAAGAACAAAUCCAACUAGGAAAAUUGACCGGUUACAAUUUGGCCAGCUGCUAUCUAAGGCGUGGUCAAAAGCUGCAAAAGUUGAGCAUGCUGUAUCUGCUUUUAGGUCAACAGGUGUUUGUCCCUUUAAUCCUUCAGCUAUACCAGAUUACGCAUAUUUGGGAUCUGAAGAGGAAAUGAUAAAUUUGGAUAAUACGGCAACAGUUAAUAAUGAUGCAAAUAGAGUUAAUAAUGAUGAAAAUCAAAUGCCAAAACAAGAACAAGCAAUACCAUCCACGUCAACGUCAGGCUUGAAUAACAUACCAUCGGAACGUGAUGAAGAUCAAAAUCAGGACGCACCCGGAACACUGUUAAACAAAUUUUCGCCUGUUCCAAGCACAUCAGCUAAUAUUGAAAAUGCACGAAAAAGAGCAAAACAGGUAGCUUGCGUCCUAACAUCUCCGGAAAUUAUUCAAAAACAACGAUUAUAAACAAGCAAAAACAAAAAAAUAAUGAUGAUGGGUCAAUUGAUUCAUGUAUAAAUUAAACCUAACCACACAAAAACCAAGAGCGAAAAAACUUAAAUUAAAUAAAGACGACUCAUCCACAGAUACUGACACAUCAGACGACUAUGUUUCCGAAUCUGAGGAUUGCUCACAAGAAGAUGUGGCGAGAUAUACAAACUCACAACUAAAACUGAUGACUGGAUUCAAUGUAUUCACUCCACAAGGUGGUUCCAUGAAAGCUGCUCUAAAUAUUUGAAUCUCUGUGACCUAUGUGGAAAAAUUUUAUCAAAAAAGCGAUGUUAAAUUAAGUUUUGUCAAUGGGCCGUCUCACCCAGUAUGGGUGAGCCAACUAACCCAUAGCACCUGGGAGAGUUGGCCCAUUCAGCUUAUUUUUUUAAAACUGUUUGUAGAGCUAGAUUUUUUAGUUUUUCUUUAAAUGUUACUUUUGACGUUAACUGAAAUAAAUGCUUAUGUUAAAUCUC